rnacentral:rRNA from 1 species
GGACAACAGCUCGAAAGGGCUGCUAAUACCGGAUGUGUCCUUAGCCUCAUGGCUUGGCGAGUAAAUCAUUUAUGGCUUUCGGAGGGGCUUGCGGCCUCAGCUAGAUGGCGGUGUAACGGACCCCCAUGGCGACGACGGGUAGCUGGUCUGAGAGGGGUCAGCCGGACUGGGACUGAGAUACGGCCCAGACUCCUACGGGGGGCAGCAAUUAGGUCUUGUGCAAUGGGCGAAAGCCUGACACAGCGACGCCGCGUGAGGGAGGAAGGCCUUCGUUGUAAACCUCUUUUGACGAGGAAGAACACAAUGACGGUACUCGUCGAAUAAGCCCCCUAACUCCGUGCCAGCAGCCGCGGUAAUACGGGGGGGGCGAGCGUUGUCCGAAGUUACGGCGUAAAGCGCGUGUAGGCGGGUUGUUAAGUCCGCUGUGAAAGCCCGGUGCUCAACGGGAGGGUCGGUGGAUACUGGCAGUCUUGAAGUGGCUAGGGGGAAAUGGAAUUACCGGUAGCGGUGAAAUGCGUAGAUAUCGGUAGGAACACCAGUGGCGAAGGCGGUUUCCUGGAGAACUUGACGCUGAGACGCGAAAGCUGGGGGAGCAAACGGGAUUAGAUACCCCGGUAGUCAGCCCUAAACGAUGGAUACUAGGUGUCAGGGGUAUCGACCCCUCUGGUGCCGCAGCU